AACGUAGGGAGACAAACGUUAUCCGGAGUUACUGGGCGUAAAGGGCGUGCAGGCGGUCUGUUAAGUCUGGCGUGAAAGCUCUCGGCUAAACCGGGAGAGGUCGUUGGAUACUGACGGACUAGAGGACGGUAGAGGCGUGUGGAAUUCCCGGUGUAGCGGUGAAAUGCGCAGAUAUCAGGAGGAACACCGGUGGCGAAGGCGGUUCUCUAGUACGGUACUGACGCUGAGACGCGAAAGCGUGGGGAGCGAACAGG
rnacentral:rRNA from 1 species